rnacentral:snoRNA from 1 species
AUCCUCGGUUCCUAAGCGUGAUGAUUGGGUGUUCAUGUUCCAUGCAUGACAUGUGCCUCCUUUGAACCUUGUUAAGACAUCGGCUCAUUACUCAUCUGAUG